rnacentral:lncRNA from 1 species
GGACCGCUCAGAGCCGCGCUGGCCUCCUCCAAGGGGGACCCUCCAUCCCCCUGCUCCCCGCUGCAGCACCAGGAGCGGUGGCAGUCCAGGUGUGAAAAACCCACAGACAUCUUUGGGUGCUCGGGCCCCUUGCAGCAAACUGCUCUGGCUCACCUCCAGGGUGUGGAUGCGUGCUCCAUGCUUGUUCUGUUAACUCUGAAGCCUAACGAGAACUGUGGUCAGAGUGGCUUUACCAGGUCACCCAUCGCUGGGUGCUGAAGGUCCAAAUCCCUGUUGCACUUUGCCUCUGUUUCACCAUCCACAGAAUUUGGAUAAUGGCUUUUAAUCAGCUUGAAGAGCUUUAAGACUCUUUCAGGGUGGGUUUCAGGUAUGGCCUUGCUUGCAAGGGCCUUGGGGUCUCAGUUUUCCUCAUGCGUUGGUAAAGCUUUCUGGCUCCUGUUGCCUCCACUGUCUCAGCAGCAAUAGGAGGUUAGAUGGUGGUGGCAGCCCUGGAGGUCAGUGCUGGCUCUUCAGAGGCUGGGGGAGUUAUGUUUUUGUCCUGCUGCCGCUCUGCAGAAAGCAUCGGCUGUUUCUGGCAGUGCUUUUCACUGCACUCAGCCGUCUGACGUGUAGAGAGGUGGUGCCCUGCAGUCCUUCACCGUGUGAUGCUCACGGGAGUGCUGGGUCGGGUGUUUGUGGUCGUGGAUCCAUGGUGAGACGUUGGGUAGCAGCGUGGUGGAGGGCUAAAGCUCGCUUCUGAGCGUGUAAAACUAGCAAGUCUCUGCAGCAUGAAAAAGGCUUCCUUGUGUCACAAGCUCCAUUUGCAUGGCUCGUCUCGCACCGCUGAGCUAUGUGCCAGCUCAUCAGGUCCCACAGCACCCGCCGGCUCGUUGCAUGCCUGGAGAUGCAAAGGCAAAGUCUGGAGAAGUUUAGUGCACAGCAGCCCUGCCCUGGUUUCCCAAACUGCUCCAGCCUGAGCUCCAAAGUGAGCCGAAAGCUCUGGGUGCAGGAGCGCUGUGUGGGUGGGCCAGAGAUGUUGUUUGUGGCCCUUUGCUGCCCAGGGGAAGCUCAGAAGUGCAGUUCUACCCCCAAAACCAGUCUGCUUGAGGGAAGGAAGCCGUCACUUCUACAGGGCUUUUGGUGCAUUCCCACCUGUAUUAAGGUUCAAGACCUUCUGCAUAUCACAGCAUGGAUGGGGGUCAUGGGAAGGAGAACCCAAAUGCUGGAAUUUGUCUUUCCAAGCUGAUCUUUCAUCUCUUUCCUCUCUCUCCUUGCCUGAUCUAUCUCUAUCUUUAGGCUGAGCUGCUUCUUAGCACAGCGAGGGCAGGAACAAAGCUGAAACGCUGCUUGAGAUUCCCUGACUCCAACCUGAAUGUGAAUCCUUGCACCUUGCAUGCUGUCAGGGAUCGCUGCCUUUCGGCCUUGCCUUUGGUGGGUGGUAUCUGUUUCCCUGAGGCUCCCCUUGGUCCUGCAGUGGGAAGAACAGGGUUGAAUGAGGGAUUUUUACACCUUUCUCAUAAUGGAAAUUUCUUCCUGGCUAAAUGAAAAUGGUGGAUGCCUUCCUUAAGUUUUCCUAAUGCACAGUAGUCGCUUUCUUAAAGGCCUUACAGUUUCUUGUUAGAAACGUGCAAGCCACAAACUGAUGUUGGUUUGGUUUUGACCACAGAUUUUCAGUUGUAAAUACAUAAAUAAGACCUUUCUGAUGAGCCUGG